rnacentral:lncRNA from 1 species
CAAGGGCCCUGUCCAUUCCCAUAUCAAGAUGAAUAUUAUUUCCUUCGGCCAGGCCAUGUCGUUAUGGAAGAUACCUGGUCUUUCAGACUUCCUGAGAUUUACACAUCUACCACUUUCCUUGACAUAUACUUAUGAUCUGCUAUGCAGACUGGCUGAAUGUCAUUCCCAUCCCUGGACUCCUUCCUUCUCCUUUCCUUUCGGAGCAACCCAGGGCACAGAUGGAUACAGAGGCUGUGGUGUUUUCAAGGUUGCAGCAUGUUCCAAGACUAUGGCCUCAUGAAGGAACAGAAAAACCUCCUUAGGGACUCCAGGAAGAGCAGGGAAGGCUUGUGGAAAUGCCUACUGAAAGUUUUGCCAUUUGUUAGGGACAGCCAGAAGAUGUUGACUCUUCUGCCUUCUCUGCAGGAGUCUUCUGUGCAGUGAUGCUCACUGCAGCUGUGUCUGAUUUCCUGAAUGGUGUGCAAGAAUGCUGGAAAACUCCUAAAAGCAGAUGGGCUAUUGAUCCGACAAGAGGAUAAUCAGUGCAUCAAAGCAGGAGGAGGACGAGAGACGGAACUCUUGAGGCUCUUCAGUGACUGCUGUCUCAGACAGAGAAAUCUUAUUCACAGCGAGUCCUGGGAGGAGGGAGCUGGAAUAGGAGAGGCUGCUUGGAGACAAACACCCCUGCAUGUGAAGCUGAAAAAUUAUGUCUUGCAGGGGAGGAAAUGUAAAAUCAAAGAGGGAAAAUCUUAAAUUAUAAGAGGAUGGGUGAAAUAACGACCUCACAAUAACUCACUGAGGAUCCAUAAUCCACCAAUGUCUGUCCUGUCUGCAAGGCAUUAAUUGUCAUGUUCAUGAAAGGAGUUUGAGAGUCCUGAGGGGAUGGGCUCAAAAGAAGCUGUGUCUUCUGCUACGUGAGGUCCAGACACUGAUGUGAGCUUCCAUGACUAUUUAUUUCUCUGAAGUUUCUGAAGAAAUAGAAAUAAUUAAUGACUGGCUGUGUCUCUUUGGCUCUGGGAGCAGACCAUUUCUGUGUCCAUGUUAACCACACAUAAAUGAUGUUGUCUGAUGGGCAGCCUGCAUUAUGGACAGAGUCAGGACGUCCUGACUCUUGGCAUGACUGUUAUGUGCAGUGGCCUAAAAGCAGCACAGGAGCAUCACUGUUUGAGGAGGAUAGGGAGGAAAGGGAUAAAAUUCUUAUGUUCAGCCAGCGGUACUUAACGCAGAUCCUGGAGGGGAUCCAAGCAGACUUAAGGCUAUAUUUAUGUUUCCUUCAUCUAGGUUGUCUUCCUGACACAGCAUCUCACUGGUGAAAUUUGGAAGACCCAAAAGGGGCUAUGUUUUUUGCACACCCUUGUAACCCCAAUCCCAUUACAGCAUUUGAGAAAUAGUUGGGUAAGGCAUCACCCCUUUGCCAGUUGGUGCAUCCUACUGUGGGGUGUCUGUGGACACAGAACAGGACCAUGGACGUGUGGUCUGGUGAACAAAGCAUGGGACUGGUCUAUGAACUCUAAACUUUCUCAGUGCCUCUGAGCACUCUGACUGUCUCUUUCCAUCUAUUUGUGUAAAAACAGGAUGAUAAUUGUUUUCCCCUCACUUCUCAUGCAGUUGUUUUGUUUGGAAAUCUGUCUAGGAAGACAUGCUCUUUUACUGUGUAGAACACAGAAUCAUAGUCAUAAAAUCAUUUAGAUUGGAAAAGACCUCUAGGAUCAUCAAAUCCAGCUGUUUACAUCUUACACAAGAAAGGGUGUUG